GGAUCAGGUAGGGAUACCCGCUGAACUUAAG
rnacentral:rRNA from 1 species